rnacentral:rRNA from 1 species
AUUGAACGCUGGCGGCAUGCCUUACACAUGCAAGUCGAACGGUAACAGGUUAAGCUGACGAGUGGCGAACGGGUGAGUAAUAUAUCGGAACGUGCCCAGUAGUGGGGGAUAGCCCGGCGAAAGCCGGAUUAAUACCGCAUACGACCUACGGGUGAAAGGGGGGGAUCGCAAGACCUCUCGCUAUUGGAGCGGCCGAUAUCAGAUUAGCUAGUUGGUGGGUAAAAGCUCACCAAGGCGACGAUCUGUAGCUGGUCUGAGAGGACGACCAGCCACACUGGGACUGAGACACGGCCCAGACUCCUACGGGAGGCAGCAGUGGGGAAUUUUGGACAAUGGACGCAAGUCUGAUCCAGCCAUGCCGCGUGCGGGAAGAAGGCCUUCGGUU